UGCCGUGAGCUUCAGCGUAGGUUGCAAAAGCAGCUUAGAUCUUGCAUUGCUAAGGCUGUGGUGUAGACUGGCAGCUGCAGCUCCAAUUUGACCCCUAGCCUGGGAACUUCCGUAUGCUGUGAGUGUGGCCCUAAAAAGCAAGAAAAAAAAAGAAAAAGAAAGAAAAGAAAAGAAUCAGACACACCGUUUUAAGGCACAUUUUUAAUAAUGUGUCCGCAUCUACUGCCGUUACAACAAAUUGCCACAAAUUUAGUGGCUUGAAACAACACAAAUUUGUUGUCUUAGCAUUCUAAUCUAAAUCAGUCCCACUGAGUUAAAAUCAAGGUGUCAGCAAGGCUGGUUCCUUCCUGAGGCUUCGGAGAGAAUCUCUUUUCUUGCCCUUUCAGCCUCUCGAGACUGCCUACUUUUUUUUGGCUCAGGGCUCCUCCUGUGAAUUAUUCCAGCCUCUCUGUCCUUAUAACCUAUUAAUGGCUCUGACCUUCCUGCCUUCCUGUUACAAAGAUCCUUGUGAGCACAUCAGACCUAACUGCAUCAUGAAGCUAAUCUCCCCAGUCUCAAAAUCCUUCAUUUACUCCUACCUGCAAAGUCCCUUGGACCAGGCGAGAGGACGUAUUCACAGGUUCUGGGCAUCAGGACGUGGACAUAUGAGGCGCCAUUACUCAGCCUUAACACAAAUGAUUCCGCUUUCAGUGGGAAGUGGUUCUCAGUGGAGGGUAUCACCCCCCUUCCACCUCUCCAUGCACCUCCCUGCUGUACCACUGGAGGAAAGAAAAUCAGUUUGGAGGAAGCGACUGGAAUCCGAGAUUGGAAGGCAUGUCCAGGAUGGCGCAGUCUUUCAGAGGCUUAGGGAGAACUGUGUUAAGUUCGGCCAUCAACCCUGGACUUGAAGCUAUGCGAGGACUCUAACCCCAAAUAUGUCACAUUAGAGAAUAUCAAUUUGGCUACAAGUUGGAGCAUGACAUUGCAUCCUACCUGAUGCAUUCAGGACAGCACCGUCUCCUGGUGCGCCUGGCCAAAGCCUGUCUCAUGCUUGAAGUCCAUCAGGUCAUGAACUUUGUUGUUGUUCUGUCCUCUGCUGUCCCUGCAGUGCCUCGAAAAGUGCCUGGCACCUUACAGGCAAUGAAUAAAUACUCGCCGUAAAAUGAACAAGUGAUUGAUAUUGAGGGAUUUUUACAGUGUUUGAAAACUAACUGGUUUUCAUUAAGAUGUAACCCAUUUUGUCUAUUCUGCCAAUAUUCCACCUGGAAAUUCCUGGAUUUCUCUGAUUAUUACCAUAAUCUGUGGUCAUCCUGAAUGGUUUUUCCCAUGUGAAACCAGAGGAGAGACUGGGAAAGCAAUGCCGCUUAGAGCAAUACCUGCUCAUCAAAGCUUCUUUUUCAUUAGAGUAGUUCAGUAAGAUUCUGGGCAUUUUUGAUAAGCCAGCAUCCAGGGAACAAAGCUGUUAUAAAAUGACUUACUUAGAGGUUCCAGCCAUAAUUUUUGGCCUCAGAAUAUUGCUGGGUUUUUUUCUUUGUCAGUCUAGAAUGAAAAUGUAACAUUUCAAUUGCAAUCAUUAGAAAAAAAGCAAAGAAGGGGCUAUUUGCAUUUGAUCCACAAAUUGGACCAGAAUAAUAUUUGUCAACUUCUGAUCUGCCAAUACUCAGAUUUUUUAAAAAUUAAAUUAAAUACUCAUUAAUUCACUGUUUUCCCUUAUUGAGUGAAAAGAUUUUUUUCUGUCAACUGUGUUUUUAUCCAGAACCAUUUAUAGAAUAUUUUGCAUUAUUAAAAAUUGGAGAGGUGGAAGUGACAUUUCCUUUGAACUCCAAACAAAUUGCAAACUUCAAAAAAUGUUUGACGAAACAGCAUAGCAUUAUAACCCAAAGAGUCUAUGAUGGAGGGGAAAAAAAAUGAAGGAAAGAGGGGUUUUUUUGCAUAAGAUUCUAAUGAUACUUGACUCCACAAUGUUAAUUUUAGUGUUUACAAGUAUUAAUUGAUUCUCUGUCAAAAGAAGUAUCAUUCCAGAUCACAUAAAAAAUUAACUCAUCAUCAAUCCAAAAUUUUGAAAGACUAUAUACACAGUAGGGAAAAUUAUAAAGAUGGAAUUUCAGAAUUCCCAUCUCAUAUUUAUUCAGCCAAUCACUAAUCUAGGUACUGCAGCAAAGGAAUUUUGCAGAUGUAAUUAACAUCUCAAACCAGUUGAAUUGAACAUGUAGAGAUUAUCGGUCACAAGUGGGCCUGACCCAAUCCUGGGACCCCUUGAAAAGCAGGUUGCUUUCUCCAGCUGGUAGCAAAAAGCAGAGUCAGCAAUAUGCACCCCUCCUGGCCUCAAGGAAGAAAACGGGGAGAAAAUGAGGAUCAGACAGAUUCGAAUUCAAAUUCUUCACUUACUGGUCUUAGGACCUUUAGCAAACCCCUAAUACCCUGUGCUUUCAUUUCCGAUGUGUACUAGCAACCUCAUAAAUUUAUUGUGAAGCAUUAAGAGACAGAAUGUACACAAACUACUCAGUCCAGUGCCUGACACAUAACGUGUGCACAAUAAAAAUAACUACGAUUGUCUUUUUAUGUCCCCUUACAUCGUUCACUGACUCUGCAGUUUGGGUUUUGAUUCUAAAACCAUGUGAGUGCCCAUGAAAUGACACAGAAAAGCAUAAUUCAAGUAUGGAGGGUUGUAUUUUGUUGAGAGCUUGGUUGGAUCCACUUCUUCACCCCCUGUGUUCUAUUUUGGCUCCUUACCUAAGCUCAGCUUUUUUUCUUCCUCUGAUUGCACAGCUGACCAACCCUGUGUCUUUCCAGAAGCCCAAACCUUUAUCAUUCCACCUUUCUCAGCAAAAAUUAGCUAGCCUGUAUCCAACUCUUCCACCAACACCCCACCCCCACCCCCGCACCUUAGCCUAUAGAAGUUCCCAGGCUAGGGGUCAAAUUGGAGCUGUAGCUGCCAGCCUACACCACAGCCACAGCAAUGCUGGACCAGAGCCGUGUGUGACCGACACCACAGCUCACAGCAAAGCCGGAUCCUUAACCCACUGAGCGAGGCCAGCGAUAGAACCCGCAUUCUCAUAGAUACAAGUCAGGUUCGUUACCACUGAGCCACAGUGGGAACUCCCUCUGUCCUACUCUUACAGGUCUUCACAAGCCAACGGGAAAUAGUCUAAUGAAUUAAUUUUCCCCAAGUUGACAAAGACUAAUGGUGACUUAGCUUUUCAUAUGAUUCCGAUAAGAGACUUCUGAUUCCUUGAUUCUGAGUAGUGAAAUGGAAAUUUUAGGCAUUAACUUCAGAGCUGAUGGAAGGAUAGUUGGGUAGCCACAAAUCUUUUUGGUAUUACUAAAACCUACCCCACAUGGGCAGCCGUCUAUACCACGCCCAGGAAAUGACAUCUUCUUCGGAUGCCACCUCCUUUUCCUAUGUAUGUUUGCCUAACUUCUGCACUUACCACCGUGGAAAGAUCUCCCCAAGUUCUUUUAUUUUCAUAUAAAUAAUCUGCAUUCCUUAGGAAAAAAAUGUAUUAAUAAAGAAAUAAAAAGAGGAAAUCAAAAUAGGAAAAGAACUAAAAAAAAAAAAAUAUAUAUAUAUAUAUAUAUAAUCCCACCAUCCACAGAGCAUAAUCAUUUGGGGAUGUCAGAAAAGGACAUUUAGGGCUGGUAAAUCAGGUUGGAAGAGAGCCUCGCUUUGCUCUGAAGCUAUGUGAAAGAGCAAGCACUCAUGGUACCUGGGGGUGUAAGUGAGUUGAUGGAGAUGAAGACAGGGAUGAAGCCCUGUCUCCCAGUGAUCCAAGACCAUCCUUUUGUACUGCAACUGCCCACUGUCAAUAUUUUGGUUUGUAAAUAUUUAUAUGUGUAUACCCAUAUGUAUCAUACAUUUUUUUCCUUGCAAAAACUUUUGAGUCAUAUCUACAUACUGUUCUGUAGGUUGACUUCUCCUAGUCUAAAGUUGUGAACAACCUCCCCAUGCCAUUAAAUAUUCUCCUACAUUGCUUUUUUAAAAGCUACACACAUAAAUAUUCCACGGAAUGGAGGCAUAUCUUAUCUAUCGUUGGCCUAUGGUUGAAUAUUUAGGUUUUUUUAAGUUUGAUUCUAAUUAAUAACAUAGAAAUAAGAAUCCUUGUAACCAGAUCUUUGCACAUAUCUCUGAUUAAGUGAAAUUUCUGGGUCAAUAAGUUACACAUUUUAAGACUUUUCUAAAAUAACUGCAGUGUGCAUUUAAUCUCAGCUCCAUCAUCGGGCUAUGGAAACAAAGGUAUUAGAAAUUUGUUUAGAUCAGAUAGAAGGCUAGGCUAAUGGAUAUCUACCAACAGUCUUUGGUAGAAACUUUUCAUAAAAAUCUGGGAGUAGGGUAACCAGCUGUCCCAAUUUGCCCAGGAUUGAAGGGUUUCCUAGAAUGUGGGUCUUUCAGCGCUCCAACCAACACAGUCUCAGCACAUCAGGAAAGUCAGUUACUGGGGAAGACCAGAGGCUAGCCAGCCACACUGGAAAAUUUUCAAUGUAUUAGUCAACACUGAGAGGCCGUGAAUCAGCCUGGGCAUCUGACUUGGACUAGAGUCAUGGUCAGAAAAAGGUGAAAAGUUUAACAACAUUAGAGCCACCAAGGAGGAAGGCAAGUCAUGCAUUAUGUCAGUAGCCAUAUUCAAGGACUUUAAUAGGUAAGGGUGUAGUGAUAUUAUGAGUACGAAAUAUAAGCCGGACAAAGGAGAGCUUUGAGGAGUCCCAUGGCAAUUUUAGGAGACAUGGGGAGCCUCCAUUGGAGUCUGAUUUGCCCUUUAAGUGAUGAACUAUGUUAAUUUGAAAAUUUUUUCUCUUUUCAUAUAAUUUUCUUUAGAAUAUUUCUUUAUAAUUGCAGAGUUGUGAGUGAAAUAGAUGGAUAAAUCUUUUUGUUUCGGCUUAUAUGGUAUCAAUAUGGACUUCUACCUAUUCUUAGUUUGAGAAAGUGUUAGUUUGAGCACAAGAAGAUAAGUCAAAAUGGCUCCUGGCAAGGCAAGUGCGAUGCUUAAAACAUAGUGGUUUCUAAAUUCAGGUUAUACUUUUAUUCUCUUGAAUCAAAGGGUCACUUGACAAGUGUGUUUCUGCUAUAUAUGUCAUAUCUUUUUUAUAAUAUCACAGUUUCAGAGAUCAGAAUUCCAGACACUUGGGAAGAUAUGGGCAGAGUUAGAUUAGACACUCUGAAUGUAGUUUCGUAUAUAAACAAGUCCUUCCCUUCAUAAAUAUUUAUGAAGAACUGCAUAUCAUUUAUACAUUACAUUUUAUGAUAUGCGAUUAGUGCUAAAUUAUUUUCCUUUGUGUGUGGGUAGCCACAUUUUUCUUCUGACGUUUUCCUGAAGACUGCCAUGGUUUUUUAAUAGCUUUGUAUUGGGGGGAUGGUCCUAGGAGAAUAGACAUUACCUUAAAAUGGUGCUUCCCCAUUUAUUGACUGGAAGUGGAUGUUGGAAGUAUAACAUAUACAUCGUGUGGAUGCCACCAAAAAUUGUUCAGUGCAAGAUGUAUGUAUUCAUUCAUUCACUCGACAAUUAUUUAUUAACUGCCGACAGUGUACUUCACACUGGGGAUAUGCUGAUGACCAAGUCUGUCCUAGUUUCUGCUCCAUGGAGACUACAUUCUAAUUGGAGAGACAUAUUUUUUAAAAGGAAAAGAAAGUAGAACGACAAAUGAAAGUAGAGUAUUCUAACAGAAGUUAACAGGGUCUGAAGAGAAUACAUAAGAGACAAGGGAACCCUUUGAGGCAACAUGGUCAAGAAAGACCUUUCAGCUUGCAUGCAAACUCCUCAAUAGCAUUUAUCAUACCAACCAGAAAGUAGAAAUACCAAAAUGUCCUCCAGUGACUAGAGUGAGCAGAUAAAUAAAAUGCGGUUUAUCUAUACAAUGGAAUACUGAUGAGCAAUUAAUAAAAGAUGAGGUACUGAUCAACCUCAAAAACAUUAGACUAAGUGAAAGAGCCCAGACUCAAGAUUGUAUAUUGCAAGAUCCCAUUUAUAUGAAAUGUCCAGAAAAGGCAAAUCUGCACAAACAGAAUUAGAUGACUGGUUCCCUGGAGCAGAGAAUGGGAAGAAUGACUUUCUUUUACUUGGAGAGGGGGUCGUUCUAAAGUUAGUUUGUGGUGACAUUUGCACAACUCUGAAAAUGAACUAAGAACCGCUGAAUCCUGCCUUUUAAACAAGUUGAUUUUAUGGAAUGGAAGUUAUAUCUUAAUAAAGCUGUAAUAAGAAGGGAGGAUGUACCCAAAGAAGAGAGGCCUUCCCAAGGAAGUGAAUUUAAACUGACAUGGAGCUUAUACAAAGAGGGGGCUUGAUUGGGGUUGGGUCUAGCACUCAUCCAGGCAGAGACCCUGAGAUGAGAGGGGGCUUGGCGUGCGUCGUGAAUGAGUGGAAGGCAAGGAUGGCUUGAGUAUGGUGAGCAAACAGCAGAGGCAGUGAGGGAAGAAAUGAGGGAGGCAGUCAGCAAUACGCCCAUGUGAGACCUUGCAGGCCUGAUGUGGAGGGUGCCCCACAUACGGUGGGACCACCGAGAGAUUCUAAUUAAGAGAGUACAUAGUCAGCAACAUUUUUUAAAAAGAAUAAUAGCCAAUGCUGUGUCCUUAAUACUCUAAGGAGUGUACACAUACUUAUUUUUCCUUUACAAUAACCCGGUGAAGUAGAUGCCAUUAGUACAAGUAAGGAAAGUAAGACACUAAUUACCUUACAUAAGAAAACCCAAGGAUAUCACUUAUAUCUGGUACCUAAUAUACAGCACAAACGAACCUUUCCAUAGAAAAUAAAGUCAUGGACUUGGAGAACAGACUUGUGGUUGCCCAGGAGGAGGGGGAGGGAGUGGGAGGGAUCAGGAGCUUAGGGUUAACGAAUGAAAACUGUUGCUUUUGGAAUGGAUUAACAAUGAGAUCCUGCUGUGUAGCACUGAGAACUAUGUCUGGGUACUUACGACGGAGCAUGAUAACGGGAGAAAAAAGUAUGUAUACAUGUAUGUGUAACUGUGUCCCCAUGCUGUACAGUGGGGAAAAAAAAAUUAUGUUGGGGAAAUAA
ensembl:lncRNA